rnacentral:rRNA from 1 species
UGGUGCCAGCAGCCGCGGUAAUUCCAGCUCCAAUAGCGUAUAUUAAAGUUGUUGCAGUUAAAAAGCUCGUAGUUGAAUUUCGGGGUUAGUAAGUUGGUCAUGCCUCCGGUAUGCACUGGCUUUACUGAUUCCUCCUUCUUGAUGAACUGUAAUGUCAUUAAUUUGGUGUUGCAGGGAAUCAGGACUGUUACUUUGAAAAAAUUAGAGUGUUUAAAGCAGGCAUACGCUUGAAUACAUUAGCAUGGAAUAAUGAAAUAGGACGUUUGAUCCUAUUUUGUUGGUUUCUAGGAUUGACGUAAUGAUUAAUAGGGAUAGUUGGGGGCAUUAGUAUUCAAUUGUCAGAGGUGAAAUUCUUGGAUUUAUUGAAGACUAACUACUGCGAAAGCAUUUGCCAAGGAUGUUUUCAUUAAUCAAGAACGAAAGUUAGGGGAUCGAAGACGAUCAGAUACCGUCGUAGUCUUAACCAUAAACUACGCCGACUAGGGA